AUGCAUGCAGGUCAGGAGUCUGUGCCCUUCACCACUGUGCUGUCCUGUCACUACUGCACCCAGGGGAGAGUUCUGGCCAUGGGUGGAUGCCCUUCUCAGGUGCCCUUCCUGGGACUGGCGAGCUGGGCACGUAUCAGACUGGUAAAAGGUUUCAUCCUCAUUUAAAGGUGAGGCGCACAAUGGUCUACCGGUGGUUUCGCUUUGGUGUGGUGCUUCGGAGCAGAUCUCGCACUGACAGCGGACAGGCCUCUGAAGCAGAGCCCGGGAAGACCCACAUGAAAUCAGCAGGUCAGUGAUCUGCCAGAAGACACAGACAUCACGGCCCGUCUUUCCAAAGUAAACAUGGAGAUCCCACUGUAACUGUGGUGUUCAGCUAAGCAGUGAAACCAGCCUGAUCCGCGUGAGAUGCAAAUAGCUGGAGCAGGCGAAUCAGGAGCUGAGAAACGCGUCCUGGAAACCCCCAAGGCUCCAUCAGCUAUUAGACACAAGCGAGCCCCCCCAUAAAAGAGAGGAGAUCUGUCACACCCGAUCCUGGAUUAUUUUUAAAUAAUGACUGCAUGGAUCUCUGAACCUAAGCAAGACGUAUAGUUCCUUCCUACAUGAUUCACUGUCUAGAUAUGAAACAAAUCAGGAUGACGGCAAAAAAUAAAUCAAUGUCAGGCAAGUGAGAGACAUUGUGGCCUGGCCUGCAUAUGGGACGUAACAAGCCGCCCUGGAGACAGAGGGCUAUGCGAGGCUGAAUGGAACGAUGAGCAUCUCUACAGUGCAGUGAUGUACAGGCAACCUGCAGAACCUGCAGGAAGAUAUAGGAGCAGCUUCAGUGAUCACAUGACCAGCCACAUGAACCUCAAAUUCCUGCUCCCAAGCAUGAGGUUCUGAUGGUGCAAAAGGUUACAGAGCUCAUCUGCCUCGUCCAAUGGGAGGCAGGGUAGCAGAUACCAUCUGGAGUUGUCAUCUUGGCCAUGAAGCACCUCCUCCCAGCCUGGGUCCACAGGGCAUGUCUGCCAUACACAGGUGGCGUGUGCAGCUCAGAACCGCAUCCAUACGGCUCCGCGACCCGGAAAAUUCCCAGACCUUAACCACAGCGAGGACUCGGUAGGGAGGUGGGAUCCACAGUGGCUUUACGACUCCAAAAGAGCUGGAACAGUGCCAAGGAAAUCCAUCAGGCAGACGGAUGCCGCUGUUCUGUGGGACGGUCUCACUGCAUACAUCACUUCCUGAACGCAGGUGGGGGUCCAGCAGCAUGCAGUGAGGGGCUUUGCGGUGCCGCUUAACCUGCUGCCUGCACCAAUUGGGCACAUUUGUAAUGUUAUCCGGUAGUACGUUACGGGGCAGCGAGAUUACCUUGGACAGAUGCCCCCCCUCCCAACCCAUUACUGCCCUUAAAGUCAUUUUUAAUCUCUCCUCCACUCUUCCCUAGAUUCUCCACCAUGUAACACCUGUUGUAAUAUCAAUACAUAAUGAUCACGUUAAAAGUUGGCCUGUUUAUGUUGAGUAGGACGCCACAUAGAAGCUAAAUUUAACCAAAACAAACGAGUGGGGACAACCUGUGGCUCAGCGGAUAAGGACACCGUGCCUGUGAUCAGAAAGUUGCUGAUCCAAAUUAGAGAUGCAUCGAUUCUGAUAUUCGGAUGGGUAUCGGCGCAUAUCCAGACCUAUUUGACGGAUCUGGUAUCGACCAUGCGUGACCGAUCCAUGUCCUAUACUUA